rnacentral:rRNA from 1 species
UACGUAGGGGGCUAGCGUUGUCCGGAAUCAUUGGGCGUAAAGCGCGUGUAGGCGGUUCGGUAAGUCCGCUGUGAAAGUCGGGGGCUCAACCCUCGGAAGCCGGUGGAUACUGUCGGGCUAGAGUACGGAAGAGGCGAGUGGAAUUCCUGGUGUAGCGGUGAAAUGCGCAGAUAUCAGGAGGAACACCAAUGGCGAAGGCAGCUCGCUGGGACGGUACUGACGCUGAGGCGCGAAAGCGUGGGGAGCAAACAGG